UACAGAGGAGCCAAGCGUUGUCCGGAUUGACUGGGCGUAAAGCGCACGCAGGCGGACGCGCGCGUGGGGUGUGAAAUCUGGCCGCUUAACGGCCAGGCGCCAUCCCAUACGGCGUGUCUGGAGUGAUGCAGAGGUCGGUGGAAUUGCCGGUGUAGUGGUGAAAUGCGUAGAGAUCCGGAGGAAGACCGGUGGCGAAGGCGGCCUGCUGGGCAGUUACUGACACUGAGGCGCGACAGCGUGGGGAGCAAACAGG
rnacentral:rRNA from 1 species